CCCUCAGAGCUUCUCACGAAGGUCCAAGCUCAAGUGCCACCUAUGCAUCCAGAGCUGAGGAGCCAUUUCAGUGCCCUUCAUGUCCAGAUGUCGUGCAAAAGGGUAGUCUGAAGAGACAUUUGGUGGUCCGCACAGGCAAGUGUCCAUUUCAGUGCCCUUCAUGUCCUAAGCUUCUUACAAAAGGGUAGUCUGAAGAGCCAUCUGGUCACUCACACAGGCGUCCAUUUCAGUGCCCUUCAUGCACUCAUAGAUUCUCUGCAAAGACCAGUCUGCUCCAAGUUCUUUGUUCAGG
rnacentral:lncRNA from 1 species